UUUCAAUCUACAUGUGUUGAUGGGGGAAUUUUGCAAGUGAUCCUACUAAAAUUUGAGAGUACAUGUACAUGUAUGAUUUAAUAUAUAUUGUAUGAAUUGAUUAAAAUCUUUUGUGCUUUUUAUUUUUUUACAGAUCUUGAGAUGGCCAUUGCCUACUGGAAUCUUAUUUUUACUGGUCGCUUCAAAUUUUUGGACUUGUGGUAUGAAUUUUUAAGAUCUCAUUAUAAAAGAGCUGGCAAUACCCAAAGACACUUGGAACCUUCUGCUAGAGUUUUCUAACAGGAUUGAUGACACCAUGAGCAAUUAUGAUGAAGAUUGUAGGUCUAUACUGUAUUAAUUGUAAUGUCCUCCUCUUUAAAUAAUUUGUAUUUUGUACAGCACUUUAAUGUAUGGCAGCUUUAUUUCUUU